rnacentral:misc_RNA from 1 species
GAUGAAGAACGUAGCGAAAUGCGAUAAGUAAUGUGAAUUGCAGAAUUCCGUGAAUCAUCGAAUCUUUGAACGCACAUUGCGCCCUCUGGUAUUCCGGGGGGCAUGCCUGUCCGAGCGUCAUUUGCAACCCUCAAGCCCGGCUUGUGUGAUGGGUGCCGUCCCCUACGGGACGCGCCCCGAAGGCAAUGGCGGCGUCGCGGUUAUCCGAUCAGCCAAUGUGUAUGGGGCUUUGUCACUCACUUUACGGCCCGGACCGGCGCCAGUCCGAAUCAAUCUUUUUUCUAAAGUUGACCUCGGAUCAGGUAGGGAUACCCGCUGAACUUAAGCAUAUCAAUAAGCGGAGGA